rnacentral:rRNA from 1 species
UUAAAUUAAAGAGCCGCAGUAUUUUGACUGUGCGAAGGUAGCAUAAUAAAUUGUCUUUUAAAUAAAGGCUUGAAUGAAAGGUUGGACAAAGUAUCAUCUGUUUCUUAAAUAUUUAUUGAAUUUGACUUUUAAGUGAAAAGGCUUAAAUAAAUCAAAAAGACGAUAAGACCCUAUAAAUCGUUACGCUGGGGCGGCGUAGAUAUAUAAAUAAACUGUCUAUAAUUUAGAUACAAUAAUCAUUGAAUUGAUCCUUAAAUAGAUUAAAAGAUUAAGAUACUUUAGGGAUAACAGCGUUAUUUUUUUUGAGAGUUCUUAUCGAAGAAAAAGUUUGCGACCUCGAUGUUGAAUUAAAGUAUCUCUAUGGUGCAGCCGCUAUAAGAGAGAGUCUGUUCGACUUUUAAUACUUU